AGUCUAUGGUUGGCUGAGCAUCAUGGGAGAUAUAGUUCAGGGACAGAUGGCGAGUUUCUGUUGGUCAGUCCUGGUUUAUAGAUCUAUUGGUUGUUUUAUGGUUUAUGCCAUAUGUUGAAAUCUGGGUAAUAUGUAGGGGGUAACUUCAGCUAGAGAAUUGGCUAGGAAAUAUAUGGGCGGGCAGCCAUUUUGAAAACAAGCGUUCCAUUUGUGAAUUCUUACUCUAGACGCUGUACGUGCAAAUAAACUACACAUUAAAACGCUUCUGGUAACAACUCCAAAUUACAAAUGCCCCCAUUACCGGAUCUCUCCUCAUCCGGCGCUCGAAGAGAUUUUCCUUACUUUGUUUUUUGCACUAUUACACAGAGAUUCUCUGCAUCUGGAAGCAGAUGUGACAUCAUCACUGCAUGUGAUCUCUGACCUAAUUAGGUCUCUGCUAUCAUGUAUCCUAAAUCCCCAAUCUUAUUCUAUUAUUACUGUAUUAUUAUUAUUUUAUUUUUAAAAUAUUAUUAUUAUUACCGUGUGCACAUUUUACUUUAUGUUUGUAUUCAGUGUUCUAGAAAUAUUCUAUUCUAUCUAUUUGUGUCUGACGUAUAGCGAAUGUUAAAAUGACUUGUAUCGCAUAGAGGAUAUUAAAGUGUUUUGUAUUUU